rnacentral:rRNA from 1 species
CGAGAAAGCCCGCAAGGGUGAGUAAAGCGGCGCACGGGUGCGUAACACGUGGGUAAUCUGCCCUAGAGUCUGGAAUAACUCGCCGAAAGGCGUGCUAAUGCCGGAUAAGACCACGGGAGCCUCGGCUCCUGCGGGAAAAGGUGGCCUCUGUAUACAAGCUAUCGCUCUAGGAUGAGCCCGCGGCCCAUCAGCUAGUUGGCGGGGUAAUGGCCCACCAAGGCUACGACGGGUAGCUGGUCUGAGAGGACGAUCAGCCACACUGGAACUGAGACACGGUCCAGACUCCUACGGGAGGCAGCAGUGGGGAAUCUUGCGCAAUGGGCGAAAGCCUGACGCAGCAACGCCGCGUGUGUGAUGAAGGUCUUCGGAUCGUAAAGCACUGUCGCGAGGGACG